rnacentral:rRNA from 1 species
UCAGGACGAACGCUGGCGGCGUGCCUAAUACAUGCAAGUCGAGCGGACCGACGGGAGCUUGCUCCCUUAGGUCAGCGGCGGACGGGUGAGUAACACGUGGGUAACCUGCCUGUAAGACUGGGAUAACUCCGGGAAACCGGGGCUAAUACCGGAUGCUUGAUUGAACCGCAUGGUUCAAUCAUAAAAGGUGGCUUUUAGCUACCACUUACAGAUGGACCCGCGGCGCAUUAGCUAGUUGGUGAGGUAACGGCUCACCAAGGCGACGAUGCGUAGCCGACCUGAGAGGGUGAUCGGCCACACUGGGACUGAGACACGGCCCAGACUCCUACGGGAGGCAGCAGUAGGGAAUCUUCCGCAAUGGACGAAAGUCUGACGGAGCAACGCCGCGUGAGUGAUGAAGGUUUUCGGAUCGUAAAACUCUGUUGUUAGGGAAGAACAAGUACCGUUCGAAUAGGGCGGCACCUUGACGGUACCUAACCAGAAAGCCACGGCUAACUACGUGCCAGCAGCCGCGGUAAUACGUAGGUGGCAAGCGUUGUCCGGAAUUAUUGGGCGUAAAGCGCGCGCAGGCGGUUUCUUAAGUCUGAUGUGAAAGCCCCCGGCUCAACCGGGGAGGGUCAUUGGAAACUGGGGAACUUGAGUGCAGAAGAGGAGAGUGGAAUUCCACGUGUAGCGGUGAAAUGCGUAGAGAUGUGGAGGAACACCAGUGGCGAAGGCGACUCUCUGGUCUGUAACUGACGCUGAGGCGCGAAAGCGUGGGGAGCGAACAGGAUUAGAUACCCUGGUAGUCCACGCCGUAAACGAUGAGUGCUAAGUGUUAGAGGGUUUCCGCCCUUUAGUGCUGCAGCAAACGCAUUAAGCACUCCGCCUGGGGAGUACGGUCGCAAGACUGAAACUCAAAGGAAUUGACGGGGGCCCGCACAAGCGGUGGAGCAUGUGGUUUAAUUCGAAGCAACGCGAAGAACCUUACCAGGUCUUGACAUCCUCUGACAACCCUAGAGAUAGGGCUUCCCCUUCGGGGGCAGAGUGACAGGUGGUGCAUGGUUGUCGUCAGCUCGUGUCGUGAGAUGUUGGGUUAAGUCCCGCAACGAGCGCAACCCUUGAUCUUAGUUGCCAGCAUUCAGUUGGGCACUCUAAGGUGACUGCCGGUGACAAACCGGAGGAAGGUGGGGAUGACGUCAAAUCAUCAUGCCCCUUAUGACCUGGGCUACACACGUGCUACAAUGGGCAGAACAAAGGGCAGCGAAGCCGCGAGGCUAAGCCAAUCCCACAAAUCUGUUCUCAGUUCGGAUCGCAGUCUGCAACUCGACUGCGUGAAGCUGGAAUCGCUAGUAAUCGCGGAUCAGCAUGCCGCGGUG